UGUGUUGCUUAGCAACGCAAAAAUAGUGGAGACAAAAAAAAGCUGCUCAAGUGUGGAGUUCUGACGAUAGAGAGAGUUAACGCUCGUUUUGACUAAUUUCUCAAGGAACUCUAAUAUUUUGUGACACAUAACGACUUGGGAAAGAACUAGAACGAGAGAAGAGGAUACUGAAAUUAGUGUUGGGCAAAAUUCCUUGUUAAGAAGCUUUCAAAAUAGAAAAGCUUUGGCGAUUUGUUGAGGGAUAAGAUAUUUUGUCUUUUGUUGUGGAACGUUUGCUCGGGAACCUGUUGCUACCCGGAGGAGUUAUUAAGGGCACAAACAUAGGCUUCUAGGAGCGAAGCGCUGUAAACAGAAGCGCGGUGUGCUUUAUAAAAUACAAAAAAAUAAAAAAGAUCAAGCUGGGUUUUGAGAAUUUUUAGUUAUGUUUAAGAAUACAUUUCAAAGCGGCUUCUUGUCCAUUUUGUACAGCAUUGGGAGCAAACCUCUACAAAUAUGGGAUAAAAAGGUGAGAAAUGGCCAUAUAAAGCGUAUUACGGACAACGACAUCCAGUCGUUAGUGCUUGAGGUGGAAGGAACCAAUGUCAGCACGACCUACAUCACAUGUCCUGCAGAUCCGAAGAAAACCCUGGGCAUCAAACUCCCCUUCCUGGUCAUGAUCAUCAAGAAUCUGAAGAAAUAUUUCACAUUUGAAGUUCAGGUAUUGGAUGAUAAAAACGUGCGGCGGAGAUUCCGAGCCAGUAACUACCAGAGCACCACACGGGUGAAGCCCUUCAUCUGCACCAUGCCCAUGCGGCUGGACGACGGCUGGAACCAGAUCCAGUUCAACCUGUCGGACUUCACACGGAGAGCGUACGGCACCAACUACAUCGAGACGCUGCGAGUACAGAUCCACGCGAACUGUCGCAUAAGAAGAGUGUACUUUUCCGAUAGACUGUACUCCGAGGACGAGCUGCCGGCAGAGUUUAAACUCUAUUUGCCGGUACAAAACAAAGCAAAGCAGUAACGUGGAACCUUUCCUCGAUUCCUGCAGUUUUUCCCCCUCACCAAAUUUCCAGUCAUGUGACUUUGCCUUGUUUAGUUUAGGUUUUUUUUUUUCUUCCUGUGUUGUAUGUUUUAUAUGCACAAUGUGAGCGGAGAAUUCAGCCCAGAAUGUGAAUUCAGCAUUCAGACCCACAAAAGUAACAUAUUAUAUUACUGUAUGUGUGUGUGUGUGUGUGUGUGUGAGAUACACAUGAAAGACAUCAUUGGCUUGACCAGCUUUAUUUUCUUAUCCGGAACGUCAGCUGCCACAAUACGUCGGAACGUACGUAGGAACGUAGCAAUGAUCUGUACAUCAUUAUGUUAAAGGUCGUGGGCGGAAAUUGUGCGAUUUAUAGAUUUUUUUUUUUUUUUUUUUUGGCACCUGUCACUAAAAUAAACCUCCUUAUAAAACCAAAUCUGUAUCAAAAAUGUAAUUACAUGGAAAAGUCUGGAAUAGAAAUACUUUGAUUUGUAUAUCAUCUUUCAGCCAUUCAAUGAAAGUCUAUUACAAAGUAAUUCAUGGAAUUCACAUCUUUGGGUCAAAAGGAUUUGAAAGUACCUCAAUACUGGUCCAGUCACUUGAAAUUACAACAGCAUAUUCAUUCAAAUUUGAACUGAAAUUAAAAUGUAGAACACUGUUUCUAAGGAUAAACAAUUGUUACAAUCUUUUUUUUUUCUCUCUCUCAAAUAAUACACAUUCAUUUGAAUUGUAAUUAAUUUGUAUAUGAUUUGCUAAAUAAUAACUGAUGAAGAAACUCUGCGAGGUUCUGGAAACGCAUGCGUUGUAGAUAAAGUGCAAAAACCUAAAUGGCUUUACUAUGUAAAGGAAGCGAAACUAUACAUAUAGAAGCUGAAUGAAACAGUAUGUGUACAUAUCACAAAGUGUGUAUACUGUUUAUAGAAUGUUCAUGAAACAGAAUCAAAAAGCAAGAAGGGGAAAAAAUGGUCAUGGUGUAAGCUCGAGUGUGUGAGCUUCAGGGCAAUUUAAUGCUGAUGCUUUGCUUUGGGCAGUGUGUGUGUCUCUCUCUCUCUCUCUCUCCAUGUCUUUCUCUCUCCCCCCCUCCUCCCUGUUUCUUUCUCAAUAUCUCUUUCUUUUUCUGUCUGUUUAUCUGUCUCUCUCUGCGCUUAUAAAGUGCAUUAGCAGAGGAUUUGCCUCUUCGUGGUAAUGACGUAAGCGUCGUUCUUGCUCGGAUCCUUAAAAAUGUUGAAAAAUCGGUUUGGGGGUUGUUUUUUUUUUUUGUUUGUUUGUUUGUUUUUAAAUUCAGCAUAUUGCUUAUGGUGGUGAAGCCCCGCCUUCUGUCGCACUUCCAUAAUGAAGCACAUAGUAAUCAUGGACGUACAUGAGCACAGCAAUGGGCUGACCGAUGAUCAGAGAGAUCCACACCGCUGCGUUGCCGUAGUUACCUCUCAGGAAGCGGCCCACGAACAUGGCAAGCGGAAUCUGAAAGCAAAAAUCGAUUAGAAACGCUAUCUUGGUCAAUGGUUUGUGUGUACUGCGACUUUAUUAGCGUAAAACCAGGGAUUCUACACUAACCUGAGCCAUCAUUCCCAUGAACGCCCAAAGCCGGAACAUCUUCAGAGGCACGCUCACCAGGUACUGAGACAGAACAAACACAACUGGAUAUUGAAAAUCAGACGUUUGGAUGCGCAAUUCGGUCAAACGGCAAAUUCUAAAAGUUUGGAAAAAGUGCUCCAAAUUAUUUACUUUAUAUUCGUGCACUGUAUUUGAAUUGUAGACAAAUAACCUCACUAGGAAAACCAUUAAAAUGGCUCAAUGUGCCACAAGUCUAAAAUGAUACAUACUUGAAAAUUGUAAAAAAAUUGUAACAAAAGGUACCUUCUUUAACGUUCUUUGUUGUAUACGUUUGCGAUAUUUAGCAGGAUCGCAAAUAUCUUUAAUGAUCAGGAUCAUAGACUGUCAGAGAUUUUGGGUGGGUUGCACCAAUAAGGAUUCAAUUCGGCACAGUUUAGAGCUAAUCUAGGAUUUGUUGAUCUGGGCUUUAUUUUAAAUCGACUUGUGUUGCACCACUUCAAUUUUAAACACAGAUUAACAAAUCAGGGGAUUAGAAUUCUAACCCGUGAUUAAAACCUCCAUUUACGAUUCGUUUUCUCCGUCAUGACGGAUUCGCCAUUGACGAUAUUUCAUCAACGUGGAAAUACUUGAGUUCUCCAGUGUAACUAUAAACAGCAAUGAUGUUCAGUGAACUUUAAACAGAAGGAUCGUGAACUUUAAACUUUGAAUAAAAACAAAAAAAAAUUCAACUGCCGUUAUUAACCGCUCAUUCGCAUACAGGUUGAGAAAAUGAAAAGAUUAUAGUCUGUCCCGGUUUAUUGUGAAAUUACAUCCAGGAUUAACGUGAUGGUUUAAAUGUAAGACUGCUUAUUUUGAAAUAUAUAAACCUUGGUUUAAUCUAGAUUUAAGCGUAAUCCUUAUUGGUGCAACCCACCCUUUAUGACAUAUACGUGAAAUUAUAUUGUGUUAAGUGUUAACACCUCGUGAAAGAAAGCGGAGAGAAAAAACACGGCGAUCUGAGCUGUCAGCCUGUUCAAACCUCUUCUCAACAUGGGCUUAUAAAAGUGCCUGAGAGCAGAGAAGAAACAGAAAGCAACCGAUUCAUUAGGCAAUACAAAUGUGUGACUGACAUUAACGAGGCUGUUGAACCCCAAAUCUGAUGCACUCUGGGAAAUCGUAAUAACCGAACGUAGCUCGGACUCACCGCAGGCACCAUUUAUGGACAGGGAUGUUCCAGUUUGACCAGAAAUAUGGCACUGUUUCUGAGUUCCUACAAAUAAAAGAAACAAACUCUGCAGUUUGGAUUACCUUAAAGGUGCAGCUUGUAUUUUUUUUUUUUAAAAGUGUGUUUAGACGUGUAAUAAUCGUCUAACUUUAAAGCUGCAUUAGAAAAACUGUGAUUCACGGUAUUAUCAUUCGCAGUAGGAUCUUGAGUAGUGCCUUCAUUUCCACUAGUGCUUUUGUUUAUGCUCUUCUGGCCCAGAAAUUAGCUCCACCCCCCGCCAGAACAUGUUAUGUUUUGUUUACAAUGUAGUGCACAAGGCAGACAUAGUUUACGCACGGGUCGUAGUGGUGUGGCUUGUAAGACGAACACGUUUUCAUGACCCAGACACCAAAGGGUUAAAAAUGGCUUCUUUGAUGCGGUUAAUGAGGGACCUGUAAAUGGAUGGGUAGAUGGUCUAGAACAACAACAACAUGUACGAUACUCACCACCAGUCUCGAUAAAAUUCUCGGUCUCCAAACUGCAUCAGUUCAGCGACAAAGUUCAUGGAGGAGUGGAAUAACCAGUAAAAAAAGAUGAGCCAUAUUAAAUGAUUAGGCACCUGUAGGAGAAGAGGACCGGGUUGAUGAGGAGAUGAGGAGGAGAGAUUUUUUAUUAAAAAAAAAAAAAUCUAACACAAUCCAAACCUUUUUAACUAAGCUUUAGAAUAAAAAAUGUUUAUUCAAACACCUAAGACGGGCAUCAUUACUCUCCUACAGGGAACAAUUCAUAGCCAUCAACAUGAUGUAUAUAAAUUUUUAUUAUUUGAAAAAAUCUGAAUAUUACAACAUAAAUGUGUGCAAAAUGACGCUAUUUAAAAAGCGCUGUGCUUCCAGUGCAAUACUUAUUUAUGCCAAAUAUAACGAAAUCAGUAUGUAAACAAAACUGUUUCCAUAAAACAAUUUUUUUUUUAAAUGUAAAAAAGUAAAAUGCCCCUAAAAUAUAUGGAAAUAAAGAGCAUGUUAUAAUACGGUGACUGGAUUUAUUCUUUAAUUCCCUCUGAUCCGAUCCAGAAGUUUCUGCUGAUAUUGGCCUGAUAUUGAGACACGGACUACGUUUACAUGGACAGCAAACAUACAUGGAUUAACGGCACACGUCAUUACGUCCCCGCGCCACGCCGUCCGACGUUCCCUCCAGAAUUUCACGUAUCGACGUACAGUUCAUCUUCGUUAUGGUACCGUUUUAAUUUCACGAAAGCUUCAAGUGCGGUUAAUUAUUUGUCGUGCUAUACGUGCAAAUAGACGACUGCUUGAAGCCGUGAGCUGUGUCCGAAUCCGCAUACUUACCUACUAUAUAUUAGAUGAAAUACAUGUAUAUCUCCUAUUAUAUACUGUUGUAGGUAAGUACGCGGUUUGGGACGCAGCCGCGCUCUCUUGUUUGCCGUCAAAUGGUUGAGCAUUGCCGUGUGUCUAUGUGUCAUGUCAUAGAAUGCGGUGAAAACUCCCACACGAUGUUAAUAGCGUGAUUAAGGUGUGUACGUGUCUGUAACGCACGUCAAUGACGCGGCUAAAACAGGAAUACUCCACAUGUCUUAAUUCCAUUUGUGUUUACUUCGAGUGUGACUUUAAUCGGAUUAAGGUCAUCAAUAAUCGCUGUUUACAUGCUAGUUUCUUAAUCGGGUUCAUAUCGGAUUAUUGUUGUUCAUGUAAACGUACCGAAUGAUAUCAUUUACAGUGAGGACAGAAGGAAAUAUGAACAGGACAAUUACAAGUAUCCUGUACUCACAGCAAGCUUCAGGAGGCGCUCCACCAUCCUGGACAAGUCCAUGUCCUAUGACAAAAAAACCAAACGGAGAUCUAUUCAAAUUCAUCAAAAUAUCACAAAACGCUGUAUUUCUUUUUUUUAAAACCACACAGAACAAGUAAGCGUUUCUCUGAGCAGUGCUUAUACUAUUUAUACUACAGUCUUUCAUUUUCUAGGUUUCCUUUUUUAGUUUCUAUGAAUGCAAACCAUUUUAAUAAAGCCAAAUAUGUAGUGGGUUUGGUCACGCACUGACGGACUGGAUAGGGCAGUGGUAGCUCGGGGGUUUGUAGCCAAUAUUGGGCCCUUGAGCAAGGCCCUUAACCUUCAACUGCUCAGAUGUAUAAAUGAGAUAAAUGGAAGUCGCUCUGGAUAAGGGCGGUUGCCAAAUGCCAUAAAAGUAAACGUAAAAGCAUGAUUUCAACAACACUGUAGUAUUAUGAUAACUAAUGCAGUAUAUUAUGUUAGUUAACAGAACUGUAAUGUAAAGUGUUUAUUCAUUAAAACCAGUCUAUGACCGAU